AGGCUUUUAGGAUAUGGUUGCGGU
rnacentral:siRNA from 1 species